GAUGAACGCUAGCGGCAGGCCUAACACAUGCAAGUCGAGGGGCAGCACGGGUAAUAGCAAUAUUACUUGGUGGCGACCGGCGCACGGGUGCGUAACACGUAUGCAAUCUGCCUUAUACUGGAGGAUAACCCCGCAGAAUCGGGCAAUACGGCUUAUCAUCAAUACAUCAUGACCUGGCAUCAGGAUGUGAUUAAAGCUCCGGCGGUAUAAGAUGAGCAUGCGCCCAAUUAGCUUGUUGGUGAGGUAACGGCUCACCAAGGCUACGAUUGGUAGGGGUUCUGAGAGGAUGAUCCCCCACACUGGUACUGAGACACGGACCAGACUCCUACGGGAGGCAGCAGUGAGGAAUAUUGCGCAAUGGACGAAGUCUGACGCAGCCAUGCCGCGUGCAGGAUGACGGCCCUAUGGGUUGU
rnacentral:rRNA from 1 species